rnacentral:rRNA from 1 species
UACGUAGGGACCAAGCGUUGUUCGGAUUUACUGGGCGUAAAGGGCGCGUAGGCGGCGUGACAAGUCACUUGUGAAAUCUCCGGGCUUAACUCGGAACGGUCAAGUGAUACUGUUGUGCUAGAGUACAGAAGGGGCAAUCGGAAUUCUUGGUGUAGCGGUGAAAUGCGUAGAUAUCAAGAGGAACACCAGAGGCGAAGGCGGAUUGCUGGGCUGAUACUGACGCUGAGGCGCGAAAGCUAGGGUAGCAAACAGG